AUGCAAGUCGAGCGCCCCGCAAGGGGAGCGGCAACGGGUGAGUAACGCGUGGGAACGUACCCUUUACUACGGAAUAACGCAGGGAAACUUGUGCUAAUACCGUAUGUGCCCUUUGGGGGAAAGAUUUAUCGGUAAAGGAUCGGCCCGCGUUGGAUUAGCUAGUUGGGGGAGUAAAGGCCUACCANGGCGACGAUCCAUAGCUGGUCUGACAGGAUGAUCAGCCACAUUGGGACUGAGACACGGCCCAAACUCCUACGGGAGGCAGCAGUGGGGAAUAUUGGACAAUGGGCGCAAGCCUGAUCCAGCCAUGCCGUGUGAGUGAUGAAGGCCCUAGGGUUGUAAAGCUCUUUCACCGGACAAGAUAAUGACGGUAUCCGGACAAGAAGCCCCGGCUAACUUCGUGCCNCAGCCGCGGUAAUACUGAACGGGGCUAGCGUGGUUCGGAAUUACUGGCCGUAAAGCGCACGUAGGCGGAUCGCUCAGUCAUGGGUGAAAUCCCAGGGCUCAACCCUGGAACUGCCUUUGAUACUGUCGAUCUCGAGUAUGGAAGACUUGAGUGAAAUUCCGAGUGUACACGUGACAUUCGAAGAUAUUAGUAGGAACACCAGUGGCAAAGGAGGAUAACUGAUCAUUACUGACGCUGAGGUGCGCAAGCGUGGGGAAGCAAACAGGAAUAGAUACC
rnacentral:rRNA from 1 species